CCGUUAAACCCAACUCAACUGUAAUUCCAAAAAGUUGUUAACGAAACAUAAAAACGUUCCUUCGAACAAACGAACAUUUUUUAAAAAAUUUUUAAACCCAUCCUUUUGCCAGGUUUCCAUAGUCGUCAACAAAACAAAACAAAACUCCUAUUCCUUAUCGUCAACGAAACAAAAGUCAAUUUAAAAGCUAACCCAAGAUUUCCCCAACUCACGAACGGACCUUUCUCCCUCAACAUCCAACUCAAAACCCUAAUGGCUCCCUAAUUUUAGGGCAAUUUUCAAUCCUCUCCCUCUCUCGAUCCGCAAUCCCAACCCAGUUCAACUGGUUCGUUCUUCCCAUGUCUCGUUUCUUCCAUCGUUUUCUUCUACCAUUAUUUUUCUGUGCUUUAGGGUUAGGAUUUGGCGUUGAUUUUGGUCAAGCUUUCAAAGUUCCCUUUAGGGUCAAAGAUGUUCUCCCGGUGCUUCCGCGCCAGAUAUCUUGGCCGGUGUUGAACAAUCUUCACAGCGCCGUUGACUUGUUACCGGCUUUUGUUGGAUCAGUUAGCGCAAACAAUGGGUCGGUUGAGUGGAAAGGAGCUUGCUUUGACGGCAACGAGGCUCGUCUCAAGCUCACCGAAAGAGAUCACAACGAUUCGGGAGUGGGCGGUGGAGUUCUUUACCUCACGACAUCUGAAGCGCACAGCUGGACCUGUAUGGAUCUUUAUGUUUUUGCAACACCUUACAGGAUUACUUGGGAUUACUACUUUUCUGCUCGAGAGCACACAUUGAAAUUUGAUUCUUGGGAAGAAACUGCAGAGUUGGAAUAUGUAAAGCAGCAUGGAAUCUCUGUAUUUCUAAUGCCAUCUGGAAUGCUUGGCACAUUGCUCUCUUUAGUUGAUGUAUUGCCUCUGUUUUCUAAUACCAUCUGGGGUCAGAAUGCCAACCUUGCUUUUUUGAAAACACACAUGGGUGCUUCAUUUGAAAAACGUCCUAAGUCAUGGCGUGCAAUGAUAAAUCCUGAAGAUGUGCAUUCUGGUGACUUUUUGGCAGUGUCAAAGAUCCGUGGUCGGUGGGGGGGAUUUGAGACAUUAGAAAAAUGGGUGACUGGAGCUUUCGCUGGUCAUACUGCGGUUUGCUUGAAGGAUGACAUUGGUAAUCUAUGGGUUGCUGAAUCAGGACAUGAAAAUGAAAAGGGUGAAGAAAUUAUAGUGGUUAUUCCAUGGGAUGAAUGGUGGAAGUUGUCACUGAAGGAUAGUUCUAAUCCACAGAUAGCCUUGCUUCCUUUACAUCCAGAUAUACGUGCAAACUUCAAUGCCACUGCAGCAUGGGAGUAUGCUCGGAGCAUGUCAGGCAAGCCAUAUGGUUAUCACAACAUGAUAUUUAGUUGGAUAGACACUGUAGCUGACAACUAUCCACCACCUCUUGAUGCUCACUUGGUCAUUUCUGUCAUGUCUAUGUGGACUAGAGUGCAGCCAGCAUAUGCCGCAAAUAUGUGGAAUGAAGCACUAAAUAAGCGGUUAGGGACUGAGAAUUUGGAUCUGUACGAAAUUUUAGAGGAGACUGAAAAGCGUGGCAUGGCUUUUGAUCAAUUACUCACCGUCCCAGAACAAGAUGAAUGGGUAUACAGUGAUGGAAAGUCAACAACAUGUGUUGCCUUUAUCCUUGAGAUGUAUAAAGAGGCUGGGGUCUUUGGUCCUAUUUCUAACUCAAUUCAAGUAACUGAAUUCACUAUUCGGGAUGCCUACAUGCUUAAGAUUUUUGAGAACAACAAAACACGACUGCCAAGUUGGUGCAACAACGAGGAUGGUAGGCUUCCAUUCUGUCAGAUUCUUGAUCUCCUCGACUGUCCUGCACGGUUCAUAUUUGGAGGUGUAAUUCACGCGGGGACACCCUGCUAGGGGGGAUUUCAUCCUCAUUCAGUGACCAAUCGAAUAUAUCAAGGUUUUGCUUCAUUCUCUCACCACUGAAACUCUUCACUAUUAUACCGACCCCUGGUUCGUAUGCCCAUCUCAGGGACGUCUGUUUUUGGAGUGAUUAACCAAACUUUCAAUGUGUCUCGAUUUGUUUAAGUUUCCAAAAGUCAAACCCAGACGGGAAAAAAGCAACGGAAAAAAAGAAAAAAGAACAACGUUUGUGGGGGGAAAAAGCACCUGAGCAACAGUUAUCCCUUUUGCCUCGGCAAUUUCUUUCAGAGCCCCACGCUCAAGUACUCUAUUGCUGCCCCAACUGGUUCCAUUGGCUCCCAGCGGUGAGUAAGCUGUCAAAAGGAUCCCCUUAGCUUGGCUAAACUCUCUUAGCUUUUUCUGUUGUCACAGUGGGUUCAUUUCCACGUUGCAAACAUUAUAGCAUCUUCACUAUCAUUACUCCAAACCAAAUUGAGGGUGGGAGAGAGCGAGCGAGCGAACUGUUACCUGAUUAACGGCUGGAGGGAUCUUUGCUAUGGCGAGGAUGUCAGUCAGCUUUUUGCAGGAAAAAUUGCUGACCCCCAAUAGACUUUGUGAUGCCAAGCCUCUGGCAAUCUUCCAUGGCAGCCCAUACAGAAUUGAAAUCCAUGGGGAAGAAGUUUUCCUCCUUUAUUGGAAAUUCAUAAAUCCCGGGCUUUGAGCUGAUGGGCCAGUGAAUAAGAAAGAGAUCAAGGUACUCCAACUUGAGAUAUCUGCAGGAAAAUAAAAGGGACAACAAGUUCUCCAUGAGCAUCGCCGCACCAUAGCUUGGUCGUGAUGAAGAACUCGUCUCGAGAUUGAAUUAGUCCAAUCGAAAGUUCUUUUAAUUGCUUCUCCCAGCGGCGGCCCUGACCCAUACUUGGCAGCCGUAUCAAAAUGUCUAUAACCAGGUUUGAUUGCUUGGAGAAUUGCCAUUUUUGUAGCUUCUGAUCCUACAGGUGGGGAGGCUACCGUUCCCAAGCCCAAAAGUGGCAUUCUCUUGCCACAGUGGGCCAAUACAUGCUCUGGAAUACUGAAUGAAGUAGCCCCCAUGAACAAACUGCAUGCCAUCUUCUUAGCGGCGUUAAUCUAGUUUUUCAAUUUUUCAAAACACUGCUUUUGGCUCACGUUUGACUUCAGGAGGCGGUAGUGAAGCAAAGCUUGUGGAUCUUCUUUAGUUCUCUGGAUGCUAUAAAUCUCGUUACAUGCCAAUUAUUUGGUCAAAUUGUUCAAUUAGUUCAUAUACUUACAUGAAAUUUAAGCUUUAGUCUUUAUAUAAUAAUUUAUAAAAAUUUGAUCAUCGUAUUAGUUUAAUUUAAUAAUGUUGGUCCAAUUCAUAACGGUAUUACUUAAUCUCUAUUUAAUUAGUUGACGUGGUUGCUGACCAUACUAACAUUGCGUUGAUUUAAAUGAUGUGGCGUUGAUUU